UACGUAGGGUGCGAGCGUUAAUCGGAAUUACUGGGCGUAAAGCGUGCGUAGACGGUUUACGUAAGUCGGGUGUGAAAGCCCCGGGCUCAACCUGGGAAUUGCAUUCGAGACUGCGUAGCUAGGGUGCGGAAGAGGGAAGCGGAAUUUCCGGUGUAGCGGUGAAAUGCGUAGAUAUCGGGAAGGAACAUCAGUGGCGAAAGCGGCUUCCUGGUCCG
rnacentral:rRNA from 1 species